rnacentral:rRNA from 1 species
AUUGAACGCUGGCGGCAGGCCUAACACAUGCAAGUCGAACGAGUGGCGGACGGGUGAGUAAUGUCUGGGAAAAUGCCUGAUGGAGGGGGAACAAUACUGAAAACGGUAGCUAAUACCGCAUAACAUCAGAUGGGCCCAGAUGGGUUUAGCUUGUUGGGGGGGUAACGGCUCACCAAGGCGACGAUCCCUAGGUGGUCUGAGAGGAUGACCAGCCACACUGGAACUGAGACACGGUCCAGACUCCUACGGGAGGCAGCAGUGGGGAAGAUUGCACAAUGGGCGAAAGCCUGAUGCAGCCAUGCCGCGUGUAUGAAGAAGGCCUUCGGGUUGUAAAGUACUUUCAGCGGGGAGGCGUUACCCGCAGAAGAAGCACCGGCUAACUCCGUGCCAGCAGCCGCGGUAAUUC